rnacentral:misc_RNA from 1 species
AAGAAACGUCCAAAUCCCCCAAAUAACUUAACAAUAUCAAUUAUCGUAUCAUUUAAAAGAUAAUUUUCACGGAGAAUAAGUACAGAAAUUGUAUUUGACUACAUUAAUCUCCAGAAAUGAGAGAGAUAAUCGAUCCAUCUGCCGAUCAGGGCGCUAUAGAACCCACAUGUCGGAUUACAUCCGCAGAUGGCUCGGAAUCGGAAUACAUGUUUGAUGAGGAUGCGGAUGAAGUUCAAGUUGUGGCUAUUAAAGAAAUUGCGGAAGGAGAUGACGUCAGCCAGAGAAGUACCGAGAGUUCCGGAAGUGUAGAAGAUGACCGCGCUCAAUGGGGCGGGAAAUUAGAAUUUCUCCUAACCUGUAUUGGUUAUGCAGUUGGCUUGGGAAACGUUUGGCGAUUUCCUUACCUUUGCUACAAAAAUGGAGGAGGUGCUUUUCUCAUUCCUUACACCAUUAUGCUGGCACUGGUGGGAUUGCCCCUAUUUUAUAUGGAGGUGGUCCUUGGACAGUACGCAAGUUUGGGACCAAUCUCUAUCUGGAGGAUUAACCCUCUGUUUAAAGGUGUUGGGUAUGCUAUGGUCAUUCGUUUCCUGGCUGAUUGGACUGUACUAUAACGUCAUCAUAGCCCAUGUCCUGUUCUACCUGUUCGCCUCUUUCACGUCCGAACUACCGUGGAAACAUUGCAACAACGAAUGGAACACGCCCAGCUGUCGAGAAGUACAACUACCAGCCCGCCGAGCGCUUUAGGAAAUGGAACGUACAAUUCGACUGCAUGGAACGCAACUUAUGUAGUCAACACAACGUUCACCCACAAUUCUACCUAUUCUCCCAUUAUCCACCACAGUCUGAUAACGACCCCCAGCGAGGAAUACUACAACAACCAUGUUCUUGGAAAAUCCUCGGGACUGGAUGAGAUUGGAGGUGUUCAGCCAUAUCUGGCUCUAACACUUCUGGCAUCAUGGGUGACGGUGUACCUAGUACUUCUGAAGGGGAUUCAGUCUCUUGGCAAGGUGGUGUACUUUACCGCUAUUUUCCCGUACCUGAUGCUGAUAGUUCUGAUGUUCAGGGGGGUCACACUCCCAGGGGCGGUCGACGGGAUUAUCUACUACCUGAAGCCGGACUUCAACAAACUCCUGGAACCCCGCGUGUGGAGUGAUGCCUGUACACAGAUUUUUUACUCACUCAGUGCGUGCUCGGGAGGUCUGAUUGCCAUGUCCAGUUACAACAAAUUCAAAAACAAUUGCUACAAGGACUGCCGUCAUUGUCUGCGUCAUCAACUGCGGGACCAGCGUCUUUGCCGGUUUUGUUAUAUUCUCUAUAUUGGGUUUCAUGGCCAAUGAAAAGAAUGUACCAGUUUCCGAAGUUGCAGAUGGAGGUCCCGGUUUGGCUUUUAUUGUCUAUCCAGAAGCUCUGACACGUAUGCCCAUAGCUCCUUUGUGGUCCAUUCUCUUCUUCAUCAUGAUGGCAACGCUUGGCUUUGGCUCCGAGUUUUCCAUUCGUGGAGUGUGUGCUGAGCGCCCUAACGGAUGUGUUCCCACAGAUUCAGCCAAGGAGGGCUAACAUCAUCUUCCGCUCCGUUUUCACAGCUAUUUGCUUCUUGCUGGGACUUCCUAUGGUUUGCAAGGGAGGUAUAUACCUGUUGAACCUAGUUGACUUCAGCGUUGGAGGCUUUCCUCUUCUAAUCGUUGGGCUUUUUGAACUCGUGGCAUAUCAGUUGGAUAUACGGAUAUAACAGAUUCUCUGAUAACAUAUUCGCCAUGCUGGGGAAAAGGCCAACAAAAUACUGGGAGAUAUGUUGGAAAUUUGUUUCUCUUCUGGUUAUUGGGAUAACGGUCUUGAUGAAUAUUAUUAUGUACACCGAACCCGAACUUGAUGGUCAGACAUAUUCAGAUUGGGCAAAAUCUCUUGGAUGGCUUAUAGUUGCAUUUCCAAUCGUUGUCAUUCCCUUAUGGUUCCUGCUCAGAUAUUGCUCGGACGGCGGAUGGAAGCUAUUACGUGAAGGUGUAAAACCUCUGAAGUCCUGGGGACCUUCAGAAGCCAACAAGAAGUUUGAGUACAGAGACAGUGGGGUUACCUAUAAGUCAGAUCGCAGUGCGUUUGCCAAGCUCAUGAGCAGUAACAUUUCCAACAUGACAACCAACACAACCUUGUCAGACUUUCCCUUCAGUUCUUCCAACACUCUUAACACAAGAGAACUGCCGUAAACUGUUCUAAUUGCCGUAAACUGUUCUACAUGUUCGUGAAGGGAAUUUUCGCCUCAGUAGAGGAAAUGUCACCCUCCCAACUGGGGGAAAUGCCUGCCUCCGAAACGGAGGGAAAGUCCCCCUUUCAACGGAGGGAUCACUUCCCUCCCAAUGGAGGAGAAACUCCCUUUCAACGGAGGGAACACCUCCUUUUUAAAGGAGGGAACACCUCCCUCCAAACGGAGUGAAAGCUCCCUUUAUUCUUGUGAUGCCGAUUCUUUUCUAGCAGUAGAUGUGAAAACACUUUACUGGCUUUAAAACCUCCAUGCUUUAGAAAGUAGAAAGUAACUUCACUGAAAAAAAGUUUUUAUUCGGUUUAGCGCUGUUUUUAUAUACCGGUAGUUUAUAGACGUCAGAAAGUUGUUGGCAUUUCGCACAUUCCCCAAAUGAGAAUUUUUUUCAUUCAAUAUUUUGGCACAAUGAAAAACGCUGGCAAAUUUUACAGUAGAUGUGUUAGGUUCUCAACAUGUUAAGCUGUGAGGGGUAUUAUAUCAGUUUAAAUCAUCACGAAGCAUUAAAUGACGAUAUUCAUGAAUUCAUCUUCCAUGCAACAUACUAUCAUACAAUAUCAUAUCGUAUCAUCUGCAGACUGCCUAAGAGCAAUGGAAAACAUUUUUAACGAGUCACUGUUUUACAUGCACAUAUGUACCUAGAUUGCAACGUGAUUUAUACAUGUAUGAAUGUCAGUUAUGACGAAGGCUGAUCCUGUUGUUGGCUUUUGUCUUGUGUAUUAAUGGAUCUAAAAUAGAACUUAAUUUCAAUUUUUAUUUAUAUACAUUCGCUGAUCAAUUUCAAAUUUUUAAUUCAUUUAUUUAAGCAUAAAGCCCAAAUUUAUAAUUCAGUUUUAAAUAUCGGUGUAGCGUAACUUGAAAAGUAUACAUCUUCGUUGCUUCUAGUCAUAUUAGUCUUUCUAGUUGCUACCAACUCAGGGACUAUUUUGGUCAAGUUGGGUAACUUCCUCUGUUUAGCUUCACUCGGUUUUUAUAACUCUUUGGGCCAUGAUAACCCCAGGAGUCGCGGAGUGAUUUGAUGGUUUUUUGCCUAUAGUCUAGUCAACUAAACGUACGGUACUAUACAGAGGGUUAUCCAGACUUUGGUGUAGUGUGAUAUGCAUUUAGAACAACUAUUUAUGUUAACAUUCGAAAUUUAUUUAUUUAUAUAUUAGUUUUGUGAGAAAUUUACCCUCUUUUUUUUUUUUACAUUCAUUCAGACUUUUUAGAAUGUGUAUUAUUACAUUGGACUACUUUCAUGAUGUGCAGUGUGCUAUUAUAGUACAUGUGUGUAUAGUAAAAAAAAUCAUUUUCAGUUUGUCUUCCUCGGUAAAGUUUUCGUUGAAAUUUUUUAAGUGCUUUUGCUUUUAAUCUCUCAUUUUCAAUUUUUUGUUGCCAUUUUAGAUAACGAAAACCGUGCUUGAAAUACACAUUGUAUUUGAAGACAGACCAAUGUUUUUGGAAAAUUGCAUUGUAUGUUAAUUUAUUUUUUGAAAAGGUAUAUCAUGACUUUUCAUGACCAUGUAAAGAAACUGUCACUUUUACGAGAAUUUAUUAGAAUCUCAAUCUUUCCAUAUCAAUCCAAUGUGUGGUGUUUGUUAAGUUUUUUUUUAACGCGUGAUGUGUUCGUCAAAGCAAUUUACAUUUGAGCAGUUUAAUUUGUAUGCCGCUUUUUUCUUAAAUUGCCAUAUCUAGUUUAAUUUCUUGUGUGGUGAAAAUUGUUGCAAUAGUAAAAUGAGGUAAUGUGUUGAGCUGUGAAAAUAAAAAGAAAUAUUGAUUAAAAAUAUCGAUAAAACUG